UACGUAGGGGGCAAGCGUUAUCCGGAUUUACUGGGUGUAAAGGGAGCGUAGACGGCUUUGCAAGCCAGAUGUGAAAGCCCGUGGCUCAACCCCGGGACUGCAUUUGGAACUGUAUGGCUGGAGUGUCGGAGAGGCAGGCGGAAUUCCUAGUGUAGCGGUGAAAUGCGUAGAUAUUAGGAGGAACACCAGUGGCGAAGGCGGCCUGCUGGACGAUGACUGACGUUGAGGCUCGAAAGCGUGGGGAGCAAACAGG
rnacentral:rRNA from 1 species